AUACGGAGGGGGCAAGCGUUGUCCGGAAUGAUUGGGCGUAAAGGGCGCGUAAGGGUCCCGGUAAGUCUGGUGUGAAAGGCCUGUUUUUAAGCUGGGGAUAGCUUUGGAUACUGUCGGGGUUGAGUGCAGGAGAGGUAUGCUGGAUUCCCUGUGUAGCGGUGAAAUGAGUAGAGAUUGUGAUGAACACCAGUGGCGAAGGCGACUUACAGGACAUUAUCUGACUCUGAGUCGCGACAGUAUGGGGAGCAACGAGGAGUAUAUGCCCUCCCAGUACUCACUGCAAACGAUGAAUGCUAGGAGUAGGCCGUAUCGACCCCUUCUGUGCCACAGUCAACACAAUAAGCAUUCCGCCUGGGGAGUACGGCCGCAAGGUUAAAACUCAAAGGAAUUGACGGGG
rnacentral:rRNA from 1 species